rnacentral:rRNA from 1 species
AUGCACGCUGGCGGCGUGCCUCAUCCAUGCCAGUCGAGCGAACAGAUGAGGAGCUUGCUCCUCUGACGUUAGCGGCGGACGGGUGAGUAACACGUGGAUAACCUACCUAUAAGACUGGGAUAACUUCGGGAAACCGGAGCUAAUACCGGAUAAUAUAUUGAACCGCAUGGUUCAAUAGUGAAAGACGGUUUUGCUGUCACUUAUAGAUGGAUCCGCGCCGCAUUAGCUAGUUGGUAAGGUAACGGCUUACCAAGGCGACGAUGCGUAGCCGACCUGAAAGGGUGAUCGGCCACACUGGAACUGAGACACGGUCCAGACUCCUACGGGAGGCAGCAGUAGGGAAUCUUCCGCAAUGGGCGAAAGCCUGACGGAGCAACGCCGCGUGAGUGAUGAAGGUCUUCGGAUCGUAAAACUCUGUUAUUAGGGAAGAACAAAUGUGUAAGUAACUAUGCACGUCUUGACGGUACCUAAUCAGAAAGCCACGGCUAACUACGUG